GACCAGAGUCCUCCUGGUUGGCUAGGAGGGACCACUCAGCCCUAAGGACAACAUUCAGUCACCCAGCGGUUUGAAGAGAUGCUGUUUACUCCUCCCAAUCCUCAAAUUUCAAAGACAGGGACUGUUGGCAGGGCUUUCCUCUAGGGGAAUGGGUCAAUAUAAGUCCAGGACUUCUGAGAGACCAGUCCUGUCUGAUGAGGGGAGCAUGGAAGGAAUGAGUGGAGUCUGCACUGACUGCAAGAUGAUGGUGUCUAAUGAAGAGUAUGCCCAGGCUCAACACUGCACUCAGCUCCUACAGCCCACAAUCUUGUUUCUGCCUGAAGUCCCCAGCAUGGCUUUCAGUGCCUCCUCUAGAAACCAAAAGCUUGCUUUCCACCUUCAGCACACUCCACUGCUCUCAGACAUGUUUUGUUUCAGCAGCACUAGCUCCUCCUGGAGCUGAGCCUGUUCUAUCUAUCUCUCCUUCCUGGAUAUUCAGGCUUUCAGAGUCCAUGCCAGCUCUCCCUUACACAGCACCCAGUUGGCCUAGCCCCACAUAAUGACAGCUCAUCUCACCCCCUUCCCUUGGACCUGGAGGAUGGAUAAAAAACUGAGUAGCUAUUGGUUGACACUUACCAUAUCUUCUGUACCUUGUUUACAACUAGACUACAGAUAAGCAGUUAGAACUGCACAAUCUUAACUCAGACUUAUUUUAUGUCCCUAACAAGUUCCCCCAACUCCCAGCUCUGAAAAAAAAAAAAAAAAAAAAAAACAGAAAAAGAAAAAAUAUGCAAAAUUAAGUGCAAGGCAUUCGGUUAGAAAUUGUACACACAAUGUUUACUUGUUUACUGCCAUCUUCAUAACAACCCUAUGAGAAUAGUAUUACUCUCAAUAUUUCCACUGUAUGAAUGAGCUAUUUGCUCAGGGUCAUGCCACUUGGGCUUUUAUUACCCAAGGAUAGAAUCUCUGUUUCUGUCCUCUCUCUCUCUCUCUCUCUCUCAUUCUCUUUUUCUCUCCCUCUCUCUUUCUCUCUCUCUCUCUCUCACGCACACACACACACAUACACACACACACCUUUGCAAAUGGUGGAAAUUCUUUUGAACUAAAAUAUAAACCUUUGCCAAAUCACUGCAAAUUUUA